rnacentral:rRNA from 1 species
AUUGAACGCUGGCGGCAGGCCUAACACAUGCAAGUCGAGCGGAUGAAGGGAGCUUGCUCCUGGAUCCAGCGGCGGACGGGGGAGUAAUGCCUAGGAAUCUGCCUGGUAGUGGGGGAUAACGUCCGGAAACGGGCGCUAAUACCGCAUACGACCUGAGGGAGAAAGUGGGGGAUCGUCGGAACUCUCGCUAUCAGAUGAGUCUAGGUCGGAUUAGCUAGUUGGUGGGGUAAGGGCCUACUAAGGCGACGAUCCGUAACUGGACUGAGAGGCUGAUCAGUCACACUGGAGCUGAGACACGGUCCAGACUCCUGCGAGAGGCAGCAGUGGGCAAUAUUGGGCAACAGGCGAAAGCCUGAUCCAGCCAGGCCGCGUGUGUGAAGAAGGUCUUCGGAUUGUAAAGCACUUUAAGUUGGGAGGAAGGGCAGUAAGUUAAUACCUUGCUGUUUUGACGUUACCAACAGAAUAAGCACCGGCUAACUUCGUG